GACGAGUGGCGGACGGGUGAGUAAUGUCUGGGAAACUGCCUGAUGGAGGGGGAUAACUACUGGAAACGGUGGCUAAUACCGCAUAACGUCGCAAGACCAAAGAGGGGGACCUUCGGGCCUCUUGCCAUCAGAUGUGCCCAGAUGGGAUUAGCUAGUUGGUGAGGUAACGGCUCACCAAGGCGACGAUCCCUAGCUGGUCUGAGAGGAUGACCAGCCACACUGGAACUGAGACACGGUCCAGACUCCUACGGGAGGCAGCAGUGGGGAAUAUUGCACAAUGGGCGCAAGCCUGAUGCAGCCAUGCCGCGUGUAUGAAGAAGGCCUUCGGGUUGUAAAGUACUUUCAGCGGGGAGGAAGGUGUUGUGGUUAAUAACCACAGCAAUUGACGUUACCCGCAGAAGAAGCACCGGCUAACUCCGUGCCAGCAGCCGCGGUAAUACGGAGGGUGCAAGCGUUAAUCGGAAUUACUGGGCGUAAAGCGCACGCAGGCGGUCUGUCAAGUCGGAUGUGAAAUCCCCGGGCUCAACCUGGGAACUGCAUUCGAAACUGGCAGGCUUGAGUCUUGUAGAGGGGGG
rnacentral:rRNA from 1 species